rfam:Parcubacteria bacterium GW2011_GWA2_47_9 TY15_C0019, whole genome shotgun sequence.
GAAAAAAUAAUUACGGGUGGACGGUGGAUGCCUUGGGAUAUCGAGGCGAUGAAGGACGUGGCGUGCCUGCGAUAAGCUUGGGUGAGGUGGCGAGCAACCUUUGACCCCAAGAUUUCCGAAUGCGUAAACGCGGUUCCGUAAAACGGAAUCACCCGGGCCCAUAAGGGCUUAGGGAGCAAACCCGCUGAAGCGAAACAUCAUAGUAAGCGGAGGAAAAGAAAACACAAUCCUACGCUAAAGCUUCGGAAUUGCAAGUCACUUGUGGUUCCGUAGCCUUGGCGAAGGACCAUUCCCUUAGUAGCGGCGAGCGAAGAGGGAACAGCCCAAACCUAUCUUUUGCUUUGUAAAAGAUAGGGGUUGUAAGACUGUAUCGUCUGGAGCUUUCUUUAGUGUUCCGCGGCGAAUUUAUUCGUUGCGGGAUAUUAAGAAGGAACCGGAGGGAGAACAUUUAGAUAAAGGUUGGUUAGGGGAAAUACCCUGGAAAGGGGUACCAAAGAGGGUAAUAGUCCCGUACCUAAAAAUCCCUUUAUGCUCCUUGAUACUUUUCUUGAGUACCUCGAGGCGAAGAUAACCUUGAGGGAAACAGGCCGGACUAUAGGCCAAGGCUAAAUACUACGAUAUCACCGAUAGUGCACCAGUACCGUGAGGGAAAGGUGAAAAGCAGCCCGAUGAGGGCGGUGAAAUAGAACCUGAAACCGUCACACCCACAAGGAGUCGGAGCCGUCCUUCGCUUUUUGCGUCGCAAAAAGCUUCGGAGCGGUAAACCCCCCGAAUAAAAAUCGUGGGCUUUGCCAAUCCGUAGCUCUUUGUGGAAUAAAGAGCGGAGGAUGGUGACGGCGUGCCUAUUGAAGAAUGAGCCAACGACUUUCUCGUCUAACUUUGUCUAAUCCCGUUUCGGGAGGAGGCUCAGCGAAAGCGAGCGUUAAAAGCGCGCAAUAUUAAGUUAGGCGAGAAGACCCGAAGCCAAGCGAGCUUGCCAUGGCCAGGAUGAAUUCCCGAGAAAUCGGGAAGGAGGUCCGAACCCGUGAGCCGUGCAAUACUCUGGGAUGAGCUGUGGUAAGAAGUGAAAAGCUAAUCGAGCUUGGUAAUAGCUGGUUCUCCCCGAAAUAGCUUUAGGGCUAGCGCUUCGUUUUGUUAGGUGGGGGUAGAGCACUGAAUGGAUUACCGUGGCAUUUUUGUCAGGUAGUUCAAUCAAACUCCGAAUACCGCCGAACUUAUAACGAGGCAGUAAGACUGUGGGGGCUAAGCUCCAUAGUCAAAAGGGAAACAGCCCAGAUCUUCAUCUAAGGUCCCUAAACCGGGCUCAGUGUGAAAGGAAGUGGAAUUCCUCAGAUAGCUAGGAGGUUCGCUUAGAAGCAGCUAUCCUCUAAAAAGUGCGUAAUAGCUUACUAGCUAAGGAAUUCUGCGCCGAAGAUUUACCGGGGCUUAAGCUCGGUACCGAAGAUAAGGACUAUGUUGACUUCGGUUAACGUAGUGGUAGGGGAGCGUUUUCAGCGCGAUGAAGCUUCGUUGUGAAGCGGAGUGGAGCGCUGAGAAGUGAGAAUGUUGGCAUGAGUAACCACAAGGCAGGUGAAAUCCCUGCCCACCGUAAGCCCAAGGUUUCCUUCGCAAUGACCGUCAGCGAAGGGUGAGGCGACCCUUAGUCCGCAACCGAAAGGUUGGGAUGAUGGACAGCCGGUUAAUAUUCCGGCCCUUCCGUUCAUUUCCGAAACAGCGACGCAGUGGAGUAGUUGAGAGGGAUUAUCGGAUUUCCCAUCCCGCUUCGGCGGGAGUUCUCAAUGAAUUCGUUGCCUAGAAAAACUGUUAGGGUUAAAUGGGCGGAAUUCGUACCGCAAACCGACACAGGUGGGCUGGCGUAAGUGCGCCAAGGUGAACGGGUGAAACCUCGUUAAGGAACUCGGCAAAAAAGCAGCUGUAAGUUCGCAAUAAAGCUUGCCCUGCCCGCGAGGGUUAGGGCCGCAGCUAAAGUCUCUCUGGCGACUGUUUAUCAAAAACACAGGUCCCUGCUUAACUCGUAAGAGGAUGUAUAGGGGCUGACGCCUGACCAGUGCUGGAAUGUUAAAGGCGGCGGUCGUCCUUCGCUCUUUGCUUCACAAAGAGCUUCGGAACGACAAGUUUUUCUGUAUUUUAGAAAAGCUUGCCAUUCCGUAGCUCCGAACGGAGCAAGGAGCGGAGGAUGGCUGACUGCCCGAAGCACCAGUGAACGUCCGCGAUAACUAUAAUCGUGUUAAAGUAGCGUAAUCCCUUGCCGGGUAAGUUCCGGCCCGCAUGAAAGGCGUAACGACUGGAGAACUGUCUCAACGAGGCGCCCGGUGAAAAUGCAGCACCGGUAAAGAUGCCGGUUUCCUGCGGCUAGACGGAAAGACCCCGGAAGCUUUACUGUAGGGUGGUAUUGAGCCCUGGGUUUAGAUGCGUAGCGUAGCGGGUAGGCUUUGAAGUUCGUCUUUUGGGGCGAAUGGAGCCGCCAAUGAAACACCCGUCUUUUAAAUUCUUAGUUCUAACUCCGCCUGAAAUGGCGGAAAACAGUGCCACUUGGGCAGUUUUAGUGGGGCGCUAGCCUCCUAAAAGGUAACGGAGGCGUUUAUAAGGUCGGCUAAGGCCGGAUGGAAAUCGGCCGUGUCGGGUAAAGCCACAAGCCGGCUUAACUGCAAGGCGGAUAUGCCGCGCAGAUGCGAAAGCAGAACUUAGUGAACCGACCCUUUGUCGUAGAAAAGGGGAAGAUCAUCAACCAAAAGCUACUCCGGGGAUAACAGGCUAGUAGGGCCCGCGAGUCCACAUCAACGGCUCUGUUCGGCACCUCGAUGUCGGCUCAUCACAUCCUGGGGGUGGAGAAGCUCCCAAGGGUUUGGCUGUUCGCCAAUUAAAGUGGUACGUGAGCUGGGUUCAAACCGUCGUGAGACAGGUUGGUCCCUUUCUACCGCAGGCAUUGAGUCUUGAGGGGAGUCGUUCCUAGUACGAGAGGACCGGAACGAACUGACCUCUGGUGUACCUGCUGUCCUGCCAAGGGCAUUGCAGGGUAGCUAAGUCGGGCCAGGAUAAGAGCUGAAAGCAUCUAAGCUCGAAGCCAACCCCAAGAUUAGGACUCUUAGGUCGGUCAGAGAACAUGACCUCAUAGGGCGCAGGUGGAAGCGCGGUAACGCGUUAAGCCGAGCGCUCCUAAUCGACCAUACAAAAUUUCUU